CCUCCGGGCAUCCCGGGCGCGGGGGAGCCGCGCGGCACGCCGGGAGCUGUAGUCCUCCCCCUCCGCCAUGCCGGGAGUUCCGCGCUCCGCCGCGCCGGCUGCCGUCUCCCGCCGCGAUGGGGCUUUAUUCCGCCGCAGCCAGCCCGGCGGUGUGACAGCCCUGCUGCUGUCCCUGCGGCACCGGGGCGAGGCCGUGGCGGCGGCAGGCGAGGGCGGGCUCUGAGGGGAGGAAGGAGAGCAGCCGGCCUCCCCGCGGCCCCUCACCGCAGGCCGGGUGGGAUGUGAGACACCGCCCUCGCAGGAUGCUCCGGGGGCUGCGGGGAGGGGCUCAGCCCUGCCAGAGCCGUGGUUCUCAUUCACUUUUUCCCCCCCAGUACCGGUGGCUGGAUGCCAGAGGAGCCGCAGAACCCCACGUGGCGUCCGCAAUCUGUUGCAGAAGCUGCGUGCCACAGCAGCGUCGAGCAGAGCUUCGUGGAGCCCUCACGGGGUGCAGGAGCCGCUGGUCUCAUCAUGCAGUCUCAGAAUUUCCCUUCUCUGGUUACUGAUGCGCAGCAGGGCAAUUAUCACUUACCCCUGAAUUUGAUGGUCAGACUGUGGAACUUCUCGUUCAGUAUUUAUAUUUGGAAAGGCAGAGCUUGGAACUAGAGUAAGUGCUUUUUUUAGAACGCAUCUUCUUGUGGGCAGAGGGCAGUAGGAUUUAGUUGGUAUGUAGGAAGUGAGUCAUCUAACUCUAUUCAGUAUCUGAUGGUCAAAACCCCCUGCAGCUACUAAUUCUAUAGUGGGAAUUAACCUGAUCCAGCAGGUGAUGAGGUGUGGUAGUAAACAUAUGCAAGAGUUACAUAAUUUGCAAGAGUUACAAAUAUAACAUUUAAAAUGUAACAAAUUGCUUAAAAUUGCAUAUUCAUGAAUGAUGUUAUUUAUACGUAGUUGUCUGGUUGAAAUUAAGAGAAUGAAACAUAAAUGCCUCAGUUCGUGCUGUCUUAGAGGUUGCUUUCAGGCUGCUGCAUAUAAGACCAUCCCUUUUGUGGCUACAAGUUCCUUCCCCAAGUCUCACUAAUUUCCUUAUUACCUGGUUCACAAGACUACUUGGAUCUGCAGCUGAUGGCAGAACUCCUUCCAGAGGAGAAGCCCAAAGACCACAGGGUAAGAGCGCUAUCAUUUUUUCCAAGCUAUCCCCAUGACUUAGUCAUUGCUUUGUAAAUAUUGAUAUACAUAUAACAUGAAGGGGAAUACAGAACAUUAAUAUUCUUAAAGCUAAUGCCCUUGCUUGUGGCAUAGUGAUAGCGAGGAAUUGCGAAGCAAUUACAGGAAUGAACACAACCUCUUAAGAUAGUACACAAAAGAUAUGAAAGAUCUAGACAGCCAGUGGUUUGUACAUGAUGUGUACUGGUGGUGUAGGGAUUACACCAACUAUCUUUUGAACCAGUGAAUAUGAAAGGGAACCCAAACCUUUAUGGGUUAUAUGAAAAGGGCCUGCUUAUAUUUUUACCUAUAUUUAUUCUAUUAGAACAUGCAAGCCCUGAUAAACAUGGCAAACCGAGAAGUUUUUCUUUGCAUUUGUAACAUGGACAUGACCCAGCACUAAACAUAAGUAGCAGCUACACAAAUACAACAUUGAAGUUUUGUGCUUAAUAUACUUCUUUAUCUUCUAAGCAUUGCAAAAUCCUCAGCAGCUGUGGUAAUCCAAAAGAAAUGGUAACAUAGAUCAUCCAUGAGGUAUGGUCUAACUUGUGCAUCCAAUUUUCCAGUGUAAAAAAAGGGCACGCCCUUUCAUCCCUCCUCACAAAUACAGGACCCCAUGCGCAGUACCUCACCUUAGCCAUCCUCGUACCAGUUGAAAUGUUUUGUCAUGUGCACUCUUGCACCUACUCAUACUCCUCAUAUACCCAGCCAAAUACACUGCAACUCUAUGUUCCAGUUCUGUGAAUUCCAUUUAGGUUGUUCUCAUGCAGCAGAGGAACAAAACAGAUGGGAGCUCUUUGCAAACACGAGGCCUUUCUCUGGUCUCGAUUUCACUUGGACUUGAGCAUUUCACCAAGGAAGACAUGCACCUACAGGAGGUCAGAAUCCAACUCUUUCUGCAAGACUGGGAUUGAUUUUGUGCCUGCCACUCAGCGAUGUCAUUUCUGAUGUCUGCCAUCAUCAGCAACAGGAAAUCAAAUGAACCUGGUGGGCCCUGCAGUCACAAGGCACAGUCAUUAAUGAAAAUCCACUUCACUCCUACAGUUUUCAGACAGGUUGAUAUAAUUACUCUUGAAGGGGUAACUCAGUAAAAUACUGCUUCAUAUCAGUUGCCAAAGGUUAAUGGUCUGUUUUGCAAUCGACUUGCUCUGGAAACAAUAUUCAAAAGAAGCCAAAUGUUUUUGCAGACAGAGCCUAUAUUUACAAGAUGCUCAGCCCUUUUGUUACUUAACAUUUCUUUUGCUAUAUCUGC